UGCCUCAGUAACGGCGAGUGAAGCGGCAAAAGCUCAAAUUUGAAAUCCUUCGGGAGUUGUAAUUUGUAGAGGGGUGUCUUUGGGGCGGCAUUGUCUAUGUUCCUUGGAACAGGACGUCACAGAGGGUGAGAAUCCCGUGCGAUGAUGCCUCAACCAGUACAAGACCCUCUCGACGAGUCGAGUUGUUUGGGAAUGCAGCUCUAAGUGGGUGGUAAAUUCCAUCUAAAGCUAAAUACUGGCGAGAGACCGAUAGCGAACAAGUACAGUGAUGGAAAGAUGAAAAGCACUUUGAAAAGAGAGUGAAACAGUACGUGAAAUUGUUGAAAGGGAAGGGUAGGAGGUGAGGGGAAGAGCUGCUUAGGCGCGGGAGAUAAACRAGCAGGAAGCGCUUCGGUGCGGCCUGGUAAAUAUCCCGUGCUUGUGUGGUUCUUCCGU
rnacentral:rRNA from 1 species